rnacentral:lncRNA from 1 species
UAAUGUAAUUGCAUAUGUAGCAAAAAAUAAUCAGAUUAACAAAUUCUUAACAGUAAACAAGUCCAGCUUGUUAUAUCCUUACUAAGCAAAUUUCCACAGAUUUGUGAGAUGCUUGAUGUAAAUUUAUAAUUGCCAUGAUAACAAAGUGGGACUAGCCCACUAAGCCAUUCAGGCCAUGAAGAGGUCAUUUUUAAUGAAAAGUGCCAACACAUCCGACAAGUGAGCUCUCAGGCUAACAUGCUAUACAUUUUAGAUUGAUCCUCUCUUAAUGAACUCUCAUAAACCUAUGGGAUUAUCCCCAUAAAUGAUUCACACUGCUGAAGCAAGAGAGAGAGGACAACUGUUCAACAGUCAGGCUGACAAGGCAUGAUGUAAACUUUCCUGGCUUCCACUUAUUGUUUAAAAAGAGUAUGUGUAUUACCUAGAGAGUUAUAUGAUAUUCUUUUUUCUUAUAAACCACUAGUUGAAGCAAUUUUUAAAAAAAAGCAAAGCAAACAAUUCAUGAUUCAAAAUAGCAUGGACAUAAUUCUCAUUACUGCUAGUGAAUAAAAUUAAUGUCAAUAAUAGAAACAGCUCUUCUUUUAUGUUAAAGUAAUUUUGUUGGCAGUACAUUGCACAUUGUUGGUCGAAUGUGAGAUCUUAUUUUUCCCAUUAUCUUAUAUCCACUCUACUUGAUGAUUUGUUACAUUCAAUUUGAAGGAAAUAAAAUCACACUUAAUUUGAGGCAUGUUAACAUUCACCAGUGCUAACUGCGCAUGUUUUUCUUCCUGCCAAUGGCAUAAAGGAUACUGGGGCUGCCAGGUAGGCACCCUCUCUAUGCUCUCUCAGCACUUACCACCUAACAAAGAAAAAGCAGAGGGAAAAAAAUCCCAGUGAUUGACAGCAUCGCAGUGUGUUAUAAUAAAGAUAUGCACCAUACAAUGAGAGAACAGAGGAGAAGCAUCUAAAUCAGGGCCUGAGAAGGGCUUAGGGAUGGGAAAGUUCCAAGAAGUCUUCCUGGAGGAGGAGAUGCCAAGCUGAAUUGAGGUUCCCAAGGGAAUAAAGAGUUGGGAAGAGCGUAUUAGUUUCCUAGAGUUGUCAUAACAAAAUACUGCCAACUGGGUGGCUUAAAACAGUAAGAAUUUAUUCUCUGCCUGUUCUGUAGGCUAGAAUCUGAGAUCAGGGUGUCAUCAGGGUUGGUUCCUUCCAGUGGCUCUCAGGGAGAAUCUGUUCCAUGUCCCUCUCCUAGCUUCUGGCAGUUGCCAACAAUCCUUGGGCAUAAAUACAUCACUCCAAUCUCUGCUCUUCUUUUUGUGGGACCCUCUCCCCUGUAUUUGUGUCUAUGUCCAUAUUUCCCUCUUCUUAUGACACCAGUCAGGUUCUAGGUGGACCUGAUGUCUAGGGGACAGUAUUCGACUAAUGCAGAUGUCAUUCCAGAAACAGGAAGCAGCAUGGAUAAAGCCACGUAGAGGCCUUGACACGUUUGAGCAACCAUGGAUGCUUGUCAAUGGUUGGACUGAAAGGUUCUGGGAAUCCUAACAAGUUAUAAAGCUUCAGAGGUAACAGGAGCCUCAUCACAAAGAGUCUUGUGUGCCAAGACUUGGGAAUUUGAAUUUCCUCAUGAAAUGUGUGGGUGUCACUGAAGGAUUUUCAUUCUGGAAGUGACAUGACCAUAUUUGUGUUUUAGAAAAAUCUCUCUGGCAGCUCUAUGGAGAAUUCCAGAAGGUACAGAUUGGAGGCAGAGAGUUUAUAUAGCAAGUCCUUGAAAUAAUUCUGGUGAGAAAUGAUAAGUGCCUAUAUUACAUCAGCAGUAGGGAGACUGCUGAUGAGUGGUGGUCAGUAGAGGAGAAGAGAGACACAAGGGUGGCUUUGAAAUUUUUGGCUUGUAUGGGGGGAUGGAGGUGAUAUUCAUUGAGGUAAUUAAGAAGGAGGAACAAGCUUAGAGAUAAAUUUGGAUGAGUUUGUGGACAUAUUUCAUUUGAGGUACCAGUAACACUUCUAGGUGGAGAGCUGCUGUUUUGGAGAUCAGUAGGCAGUUCUGGCUUGAGAUUUGAGACUCAUGAACAUAUAACUUACUGUGUCCCUCAAGUUGAGUGUAAUAAAGUGAGAAGAGCAGAAACCUAUGUUUAGGAAAUCAACUGAGGAAAAAAGAACCAAGUAAUUCUUUGAGAAGGAGAUUUCUAUAGAAAAGGGGGGGGGGGCAGUGAGAGCAAAUCACAGAGAAGAGAGCUUCCAGAAGGACCAAGUUCUCAGGGGGCCAAAUGCUACUGGGAAGUCAGCAAAAAUAAGGAAACACAUUUGUUUUGGAAAAAUCCAGUCAUUGGUGGCUUUAGAAAGGACAGUUUCAGUCAAAUGACAGGAAUGACAGAGGAAGGCAUAAGAGGCUGGUAGAUUUGGGAGUGACUGUGCAGGAAGAGGGGCGUGUAGGGAUUGUGGACUGCCUUUUCAAGAAGCCGGAUUGUGAGGACAUCAGAGAUCUAUUAGCAUCAAUAGCUCCAUGGGGUCAGGGAAGAGUUUUUCCCUGACGAUGGAGAUUUAAGCAUGCUGUGAUCCAACUCAAGUGGAAAAAUAUGAGUUCAAGAGAGUGGCCUUGGGGCAGAGGUGGAAAUUUAUCUCUUCCAAUAAAGGAGGCUAUGAGGACACAUUCUUAAGGCAGUUGAGGGGUUUCUCACAGUUGCUAUUGUGGACAUCUUGUUAAUAUGAAUAAAAACAUUUCCUUCAUUCUCCAUGCAAGGGGCAUUUUUUGCUGGCUACCCUUCCCGAAUCCAUUGCCUUUCCUUUUACAACAACGUGCCCAUAUCUUCUUGGGGAAUUGAUCUCUUGCUGAGCGUGCAGCCUCAGAACUAUCAGACCAGGUGUCCUGUCCUCCCCUAGUCAAGGUUCUAUUGUGCCUCUCUCCUAGGUCUUUGAAUCCAGAGUCUUUAACUGCUAUCAGGGUUUGGGGGAUGAGUGGAGAUGAUUAGCUUAUCCCAGUGACACUUCUUUACCAUGCCCUGAUUUCUACCCUCCUCUAAACUUGCUUCUGUGGCCUCCUCUUCAACUCUGACCACCCCCUGUAUCCAUGGAUAUGGUGCCAAAGACUGGAACCAUGUGGCUUGGGCUCAAAUCCAGUUUGGCCACAUUCUACUUGCAUGAUCUGGAGCAAGUUACCACUUUAUUUCUCUGUGCCUUCGCUUCUACCUCAGUGGAACCAAUGAUGGUGCCUACCUACAAGGUUCUCUGGGAAUUAAUGAGUAUAAUGCUCAGAAUGGUGCCUACUCAAAGUACUCUAAGUGUUAUUAUUCCAAUAAAUUCCCCUUCUUCGCAAGUUAGCCAGGAACAUGGGUUGCUAUGUGCCACCAAAGAAUCCUAAUGGAUAACUUCUUCAUUCCAAAUGAGUAACAUUUUAUUAUACUGUGCUUGAAAAUCUAAAUGUAGUGAAUACUUUAAUAGGGAUUGACCAUUUACAAUGGUUUGGAGAGAGAAAGAGAAUUUGCAUAUGUUACUAUAGUUGUGGCAAAUAGAUGAAAGCCCUCAUUUAAGUAUUGAAUUAAGUUAAUAAGAGAUAUUAAUAGCAUUUUGUACAAAAUUUUGGAGAACUAAAUAUGAGAGUGCUUUUAAAAAAUUAUUUUGACAUGGGGCUAUUGAUAGAAAUGAGUUGGAUACAUAGUUCUUUUCUUUCUAAGUUCAUAAUAUAAUGGCAAAUGUAAUGAUACAACAAUCAGAUUUGGAGGCUCUUGUCACUUAUGGUCCCUAUAAGAAGGUAAUAUUUCUCACCAAGUCUCAAUUUCCUUAUGCAGAAAAGGCUCACGGCUGUCUGACAUUGAGUUCUGGGGCAGCCUGUUACACAGCAAUAUUGCAGCAAAAGGUAACUGAUAAAGUGGGUUAUAAAGCUAUGGGAUUAGGUAAGAUCCCCUUUUAAAGAAAAACUGGGGCAGUGAAAAAGGCCAAGGAAUAAGUCUAACAAAGGGCGGUUGGCCUAAGGAGAAAAAGCUACCUACCUACCCAAGGUGAAUUGGACAGAAAUACAGAAGAAAACGAAUGGACUGGGGGUCAUAGAAGCUAAGAGAGGCACACGUUUCAAAGAAGAAAGCUUCACAUGCUAAACAUGGCCAAGAGGUCAACUAAGAUGAAGGCAGGAAGUCUUCUGGAUUCAUCCACAUCAACGGCACUAGUGAGUGCUGCGUGAGGCUGGCUGGAAAGCAGUGAUGAAGGCUGGGCAUUCUGACUCAAAUAAUGAACAACCAGUGGCAAGAAAUACAUCUAGAGGCCUCAGACACCCAAGGAUAGAGGUGUUUGUAAUGACUAAGGCCCAGCAGGUGGCCCAGCAGCCAGCCCAGCAAUUUCCUUUUCGCAGGCAAGUAGUCUGAAGGUCUGCAUUGUGGGCUGCCUCUCCAAGAUCCCAUGCCUAAAGGGGAAAAGCCAAGAUGUGAUAGGUGGAGUGAUACUGGGCAGGCAGCCAGGUAGAGCAACAUCUGGGUCAGCGUGACAAAGCACAGUGGUUUGGGAGUAGGACACAGGUGAGGCUGUUUUCCAGGGGGGGUUCCUGGCCCCUCCCCUGGCUGGCCCAGCGUGUGGAUGGCAGACUGCCCUUGGGGAUAGAUGUUCUGCUCUUGCAGGUCUCCCAAGCCCUCCCCUGGGAUUAACUUGCCUCCCACCUAGAUAUAGGCCCCAUGAGGGCAGAAUCUGCCACUUUUCCCAGGAGGUUUAGCCCACAAAUAGAGGAAACAGCGGCCACACCUGUCACCAUUUGGACUGGGUUCUAAAAUUCCCACACCAUUUUGAGAAUUCAGCUGUGACCUCGAAAGUCACUGUGAUGAAGCAUGGACUCUUCUGAAGUCACACCACUCCCCAACUUUAGUGGUUCUAGGAGAAAAAUUCUUUCUUUGGGCUGAAGGCCCUUCCCAAAAAUGUGUGAGAAGCUCAUGAAUGAACUGCU